AGUGAACGCUGGCGGCGUGCCUAACACAUGCAAGUCGUGCGAGAUUUUGCAGAGUAUCGCGGAGUCUAGCGGCAAACGGGUGAGUAACACGUAGAAACCUGACCUUAAAAUGGGGAAUAUCUCCGAGAAAUCGGAGUUAAUACCGCAUAAGACCACAGUUUGGCAUCAAACGAGGGGUCAAAGCAUUAGUGCGUUUUGAGAUGGUUCUGCGGCCUAUCAGCUAGUUGGUGAGAUAAUGGCUUACCAAGGCUAUGACGGGUAUCCGGCCUGAAGGGUGACGGACACAUUGGAACUGAGACACGGUCCAGACUCUUACGGGAGGCAGCAGUGGGGAAUUUUGGACAAUGGGGGAAACCCUGAUCCAGCAACGUCGCGUGGAGGAUGAAGGCCUUAGGGUUGUAAACUCCUUUUAGA
rnacentral:rRNA from 1 species